CCACUUGGGAAACAAGGUAGCUAAUACCGGAUAAGAAAGCAGAUCGCAUGAUCAGCUUUUUAAAAGGCGGCGUAAAGCUGUCGCUAUGGGGGAUGGCCCCGCGGUGCAUUAGCUAGUUGGUAAGGUAAAGGGCUUACCAAGGCGAUGAUGCAUAGCCCGAGUUGAGAGACUGAUCGGCCACAUUGGGGACUGAGACACGGGCCCAAACUCCUACGGGAGGCAGCGGUAGGGAAUCUUCCACAAUGGACGCAAGUCUGAUGGAGCAAACGCCGCGUGAGUGAAGAAGGUUUUCGGAUCGUAAAGCUCUGUUGUUGGUGAAGAAGGAUAGAGGUAGUAACUGGCCCUUUAUUUGACGGUAAUCAACCAGAAAGUCACGGGCUAACUACGUGCCAGCAGCCGCGGUAAAU
rnacentral:rRNA from 1 species